GUCAUCAUUCUUCUGUCCCCACAGGUUCAACUGGGUCUCUCACCCCCAUGUAUGUGGAGGGUCUUUUAUAUUCAUAUUAUUUGACAGCUACCUGGUCGUUUGGCACAUAGGUGCUUAGUGAUAUUGAAUGUCUCCUGGCUAGGACACAGCUGUUACCCACUUGGAUGCGAAGAGGAAACAGCAAGCUGUGAAAUGGCGGGGAGGGAUACGCGCUGAACCGAGAGCCAGAAGAUCCGUCACUUUCUACCUGAAGGCCUUGGGCGUAACACAGGAGUAAGAGAAGCAAGGUUCCAUUCACCUGCCAGAGUAGGUCCAUCACACAGAAACUAAGACCUUGAGGUUGCCAACGCUCCUGUGACAGAGUUUGGAAUUGACCAAAACCAGUUGACAGCAGCUGCAUCAAAUGAAUUAAAUGGGAACUGGUUUCCAAUUCACAUUAUUACAAGAAAUUUCUUUCUGCCACACACACGUACAGAGGGAGCGCGAUAUGAAGAAGUCAAGAUGGGGCUGGGUGGUGGAGGGAAGAGACAGCAACGAAGGAACACUCAAAUUUUUUUUUCUUUCUUCCUUUUUUGCGGUACGUGGGCCUCUCACCGCUGUGGCCUCUCCCGUCGCGGAGCACAGGCUCCGGACGCGCAGGCUCAGC